rnacentral:rRNA from 1 species
AUGGGACGAACCACACCUAACCCUAUAUGGUGUCAGAUAUGGAAGCUAUCUUGUCCGGCAAAAGUCAAAAUCUUUUUAUGGCGGACACUACAUGGCACUCUCUCAUGUCGGGCAACACUCACUAAUAGACACAUGAAGGUCUCGCCCUCUUGCCCUACUUGCUCUCAAGGUGUAGAAGAUGCAAAGCACAUGCUUUUCCUAUGUACUAAAGCAAAGGAGGCUUGGAAAAGGCUAGGGAUGAAUGUGAUUAUUAAUAAAGCUUGUGAGAUUGAUCGUGCUGGAGAGGCGAUAUUGGAAUACCUAUUACUCCUUCUAGAUCAAGAUUUGCGCAUUAUGUGUUACCAAAAUGUUCGAGAAAUGAUAGCUAUCACAGCUUGGUAUCUAUGGUGGGAAAGACGGAAAUUAGUGCACAAGGAAUUAACUCAGAAUGCAACUCAGAUAUCAAUGGGGAUCACAGCUCUUACAUAUAAUUUGGUAAAUGCAUCAUCUUCAAAGGCGUCUAUGAAAAAGGGGAGUUGGCAAUGUCCUCCUAGAGGCUUUGUGAAACUCAAUGUUGAUGCCUCUUUUGACCAUGACAUGUUGAAGGGUACGAUGGGGGCAGUCUUGAGAGACGACAAAGGUAGGUUUAUUGCAGGAGAAAAUGGAAAGAUAAACUACUGCGCAGAUGUUCUCAUGGCAGAGGCCUUAGCUCUCAAAUUUGGCCUAACAUUAGCGCAAAGGGCGAGAUGUAAUCGCCUAAUCACCAACUCUGACAAUCUGGAGAUGAUUGAGACCAUGCAGGACGGAGGACAGUCAGCGGGAGCGGCGGUGGCAAUUUUCGAUGACUGUUAUCACUAUGCAUGUGAUUUUAUCAUGACUAAAUUUGAAUAUUGUAAUAGAGAGGCAAAUAAAGUAGCACAUAAACUUGCUAGAUUAGCUAGAUUUUCUUCGACUUCGGAUUGGUUUGAGGAACCUCGUAGUGGAAUUGUAAUGUUUCUCACAAACGAUGUACUGGUUAUUGCUAAUAAAUAA